rnacentral:lncRNA from 1 species
GGCCAAAUAGUAUUUUAUUGUGUAUAUAUGCCACAUUUUCUUUAUCCAUGCAUCCAUUGAUGGACAUUUAGGUUGAUUGAAUAACUUGAUAAUUGUGACUUGUCUGCAGUGAACGUGGAGUGCAGACUUCUCUUUGACAUACGGAUUUCAAGUCUUCUGGAUAAAUGCCCAGAAGUGGGAUUGUUGGAUCAGGAGAUAAUAUCUUAGCCGAUACCUUUUAAAUAACUCUCAGUAUCUUUACUGAGAGGUUAAAAAGAAUACUUCUGAGAGGAGAAGCUUCCACUCUGAUCUAGUCUGGCAAAAUUGAGGAAAAUAUUCUACCCUGUAAUUAAAGAAGACUGCUCUUUGGAGGGAUCACUGUUCUAGAUUUUUUUUUUUUUUUUUUUUUUUUUUUUUGAGGAGAAGUCUCACUCUUGUCCCCCAGGCUGGAGUGCAAUGGCUUGAUCUCGGCUCACUGAAACCUCCACCUCCCGGGUUCAAGCAAUUCUCCUGCCUCAGCCUCCCGAGUAGCUGGGAUUAUAGGCACCUGCCACCACGCCCGGCUAAUUUUUCCUAUUUUUAGUAGAGACGGGAUUUCACCAUGUUGGCUAGGCUGGUCUCGAACUCCUGACCUCAGGUAGUACACCCGUCUCGGCCUCCCAAAGUGCUGGGAUUACAGGCGUGAGCCACUGUGCCCAGCUCUUCUAGUUCAUUUUUAAGUGUUGAGUCCCUGCUGUUUUAAGAGAUGUUUUGGUGAAAAUCUACAUUCAGAGAGAAACAGAUUAAUCUUCCACAUUUUUAAUAAAAUACAUAUAGUACUUGGGAUUUUAAGAAAAGAAUGCCAUGUAUUAAAAGGUGCUAUUUUCAACUGUUUAUUAUUUUAAAACAGGAAUGCUUAUCAAUACUUUUGAAUUUAAGAUAAAUGUCUUGGUUAAAUUUUCUAGGCAGUUCAAAGAUGGCCAUUUGCUGGUGAAUUUUCCAAAAUAGGUAACAGAUAAAAUGAUUAUGUAAGAACUUGGCACAACAUAUCCUUUUGCCUUUAGUUGUUCAAGAAAUGAUACCAAACUCAAAGUCAUUCACUUGAAACAACUGAGAAGACCAUUCUUAGGUGUUUAGAUCCUUGCUUUUAGAAAUAUUCUUAGUUAUAUUUGUGUUUUUAAGAGUUAUUGAGUGGAUUUUUUUUCAUGAAUUUUUAAACAUUAGACUUAGCUGAAUUGAUUAAAAUAAGGUGAUUAUGAAAAAAAAUGUUGCCCUGCUUGAGGGCAUAUGGAGCCCUACAGUUACCGUUACUAAAGUCUGUGAGUAUGUCUGUUUUGAAAAGUGUCAUAAAAAGAUCUAGUCCAUAAAUCGUUAUAGGUUCAGUAAUACAUCAUUUUGAACUGAUUCUAUCUUCUGUGAAAUUCUAGAGAUAUGUUAUCUUUAGGUAAAUUAGUAAGAUUUCAGGUAUGCUGUGAAUUUUGUUACGUUUAUGUUUUCCAUUAAUGGAUAGUCAGAAAUCUUUUGAACUGCGUCUGACUAUAUUUAAAUGAUUUGGAAAGAUAGUAUCUCUCAGUUUAAACAUAGCAUCUCAUUUUGGCAAGAUACAUUAUUUUAGCUGUCUGGACUUUUCUUUGCCUUCUUAGAGUUAUUUCUGAAAUGUGCAUAGCCAGUCAUAAAAUACUUUGUAUAAAUAGCCUAGUGUAAUUUAUUUCUAAUAAAUACACAGCUUAAUGAAAUGCAUUUCUAGUUUGAACUUAAUUGCCACUUGGCUUGAUAUUAUUUUCCUUAGAAUUGUUGGAAUAGAGGAGAGAGGAAGGGAUCUACCAUUUUUAUUUAUACCACCUAAAUAGUGGACUGUUAUUUUGGACUCACUUUUAAAUAAAAUAUUUAUUCAUAUGAAGAAAUACAUUUUGUGUUUAUUAGGUUAGCAAGCAUUUAUUAUCUUUGAAAUAAUUGGAAUUUCAUUAAAAAGUGAAGCAAGUAAGAAUUGUGAUGUAAAUUUGAAAAUUUUUAAAUGGAAAUUUAAAUAUGACUUAGGAACCAUGGGCUUGUAGAAAAAAACAGUUAACAUGGGGGUUAAGAUUUUUAUAUUUGGUUGUGGCUCUGGGAUCAAUAAGGCAAGUGGUUUAGUCUUCAGUCCUCAUUUCAGAUGAGAAUAGUAUUUGUCCAAACUCUAGUCAGUGUCUGAUUGGUAUGUGUAUAACCUUAUUUUAAAAAGGAUUCAUCCCUGCCAUAUACUCAUAAUAUUUAUGUCAUAUGAUAAAUAUUGAGUAAAUAUAUACUGAAUGAAGUUUUUAGUAUAGAGUGAAGUGAAUAGAAAAAAUAUCCAUAUAACCGUGGCUAAUUUUAGGAAGUAAAUCGUGUUUCAUAAUAAGAGUCAUCCUAAACAUUUUUGUGCAUAAUUUUCUGACCCAGGGUUAAAAAUUUUUAUUUGCUUUAGUGAAAGUUUUUUCAACUCACAGGCCGCAUGUAGCCCAGGAUGGCUUUGAAUGCGGCCCCCAACACAAAUUUGUAAACUUUCCUAAAACAUGAUGAGAUUUGUUAUGAUUUUUUUUUUUUUUUUUGAUCAUCAGCUAUCAUUAGUGUUCGUGUAUUUUAUGUGUGGCCCCAGACAGUUCUUCUUCCAAUAUGGCCCAGGGAAGCCAAAAGAUUGGAGACCCCUGCUAGCAUUUAAUGCUUAUACACGUAUUUACUUGUAAAUAUGUUGUUUCUUUGAUAGGAUAUGAUUUCAACAUAAUUACGGUUUAUUUAAAAUAAGAAAAAUAAAUAACUUUCAACCAUUAAGAGGUUAUAAGACUUUAAAGGGAAAGUUUAAUAGGGUAUAAUUUCAAAAUAAUUGCUUUUUAUUUAAAAUAAGAAAAAUCAUUAAACUUCAACCAAUAACAGGUUAAAGAAUUUAAAGGUAAAAGACAUUUCAACUAAUUACAAAUACUUUGUUUUUUUUUAGUUGGGCUACAUUUUACCACUCUAGGAAUAGCUGUUAAUUAUUUUUUAUAUAGGGUAUUUUUAUGUAUUUAAUGUUGACAACUGACGUUUCCAAUAUGCAAAAACUUGCGUAACUGAGAAAAUUAUAAUAAAAAUAGAGAUUGAGAAUAUAUUUUUAACAUAUAUCCAUGAGUCAAAACUAAUAUUUAAUAUUUGGGAUUUGAAAAAUUAUUUCUGGGGUAAGAAAUUUUGUCACAAUAUAAUAUCUGUAUAUUGUGCUUUUUUUAAGAGAGAAGUUUUUGAUGAAUUGAAUGUUAAUUAAAUUUUAUCUCAGCAUAUCACCAUCAGACCAAAAGAUACAGUAUUUUUCUAACAAGGAAAAGAAAAUACAUACAUAUAUGUAUUUAUAUAUACAAAUUUGUAUAUAUGUAAUGUAUGUGUGUGUGUAUACAUAUUAAUUUCCUCUUUUUUUUUUUUUGUAAGAAUUGAGACAGGGUGUCAGUAUGUUGCGUGGGCUGGUCUUGAACACCUGCCUCAAGUGAUCCUCCCACCUUGGCCUACCAAAGUGCUGGGAUUUACCAUGAACCACUGUGCCAGCUUCCAACGAGAAAAUUAUUAAAUGUGUUGGUUUUUCACAGUGAAACUUAAUUCAGUUUAGUUGAACCAUAUAUGUGUGUGUACGGCAUAUACAAGAUGAAAAAGAAAGGGAGGAAAAAUAAUAAUGAUGGUUGCCAUCAUUCAUUGAACACCUGUAAUGUUUUAGGCAUUAUACUAGCUGAUUUACAAAUAUUGUCUCAUUUGAUGCUACAUUUAUAUUUCUGUGAGGUAGAUGUUGAUUUCUAUUUGACUGCUGAAGAAACUGAAGGUCAGGCAGGUCAGGUGAUUUGCCCAAAGUCCGCACUGUCACUAAAUGAACAUAGAUUGGUAUGACUCCCAAGCCUGUGAGUUUUUGACCAUCAUAUUCUGCCUCACUAUGAAAAGUUUAUUUAAAUUAAUUUUUUUUUAAUCAAAAGAAGUAGUAUAUGGAGAGAGAGGUGAAAAUCCAUGUUUGCUCUCUGCAGUUUCCAGACCAUUCAUGGCAUGUUAUUUUUGUACUGGAUAUAGUCAUUUUUUAAAAUGCUACAAACUGUUCAAAAGAGCAUGAACAACAUGAUAACUCCUUAUAAUUUUGUUGUAAGACAAAUGGCUAAAAGUAUGUGGGAUGUUUAAUUUGGAUAAGUGGAAAUUCUAUCACUUGAUAAGCUCUCUUGAAGAAUAAUUAUUUGAAAGAUUGGACUUAAUUCUGUAUUGCCUGAAGUGUAAAUCAGAAGUCAACAAUUAGAUUGCAAAUUAUGAAAAGCAUAACUUUUCUAAUUGUUUAGUCUUUUUAGAGAAACAAGCCCAGGAAAAAAGUAAGAUUCUCAUUCAUUGGAGAUAAGAUUUCUAUUUAUCAAAGAUACUUCAGAAGAGUUAGAUAGCAAGUAGGUAAAAUGUCUUUUAAAGGUAUCUGACAUCUUUAAAGCUCUGUGAUUUUUAAAUUCUUAAUUUUGUUACAGCUAAUUUUUUAAAAAUUAAUUGCUGAGUCAUGGUCAAGUAUUUCUGAUGACUUACAUGCUGUCUUUGAUACAUUUUAAGUUUCUAAACCAAAACUACUAUUUAAUUCUGUUACCCUGUUUUAGAAAAACAUUUGAGUUAUACAACUUACUAAAAGGUAUUUUAGCGAUGAUGUUUUGGAGCACUAGUAAUAUAGUGUUUAACUUAUUUUCUAUUUUUUAUCCCUCUAUAUUAGUGAAAUUACUUCUCUUUGAAGUUUUCCCCCAGUGAUAAAAAAAGGCUGAGCAGUAUCUGUAAAAAUUUUUAAGGUGGUGUCCACUAGGUGGAGAUAUUGUGCUACAUUUCCAAGUGUUGUAAUUAAACUUUUAUUAGUCUGAAUUAAACUCUUUUAUUUUUUAUAAUCAUUUAUAUCUAUUUAUCAUAAUGUUAUUCAAAUGUUUCCUGAGUUGUAUGAAGCUAAGAUACAGGUAAAAACAAAACAAAACAAAAACCUCACUUUGUGUUUUGUAAUCAUUAGACAAUUUAACCUAAUAUAUCUUCCCAUAUGAUAUGAUCUUUUCAUAUGGCAUACUUCAUUCAUAUGACAUAGUUAGAAUCUUUUCCCACAAACAAUGAGUGAUGAUAUCUCAUUUGAAAACUCGUGUAACAUUGUAUCAGCCACUGUUAUAAAGUGAUUUACCCAUGUUAGUCUCAUAACAACUCUAUGAGAUCAGUACCGUACACAUGGGGAAACUUAGUAUAGAGAGGUGAAGUAUUUUUUCCAAGAUUACAAAAUAGCUGUCUGAGCUGGGAUUCAUAACCAGGCAGCCUGACUCCAAAAUCAAUAUUCUUAACUCUAUUGAUAUGAUGGAGAAAGGCAUGAAGUCUAUCUUCAAAUUCAUGGCAUUUUAGAAGGAAAAAUUGUCACAGAUAAUGUGAUUAUACUUCCUAGUUUUAUAGGUCAGAAAAAUGAAGUCCACACUAAUUUUGCCUCUUCCACAAGGAGAUAGAUUCUCAUCUACCAUUGUGUCUUUUGUUUCUGUUUUUGUCAUCAUACCUCAAAUUGAUAUAUGUUGUAAAUAUGAAUUUAAGGAAGUAAAAAAAAUAACUCAGGGCUGGAGCCUUCAGCCAUAUUAAUAUACAUUGACAUAAAGACCUUUGUUUUAAUAUGAAUGAUUCCAGUUACCAAAUGGAGAAAUAGUUGUUUGAAAAUUAAUAUUUAGCUUCUCAAAAGAGACUCCUAUUUGGAAGCAAAUUGUUGGUUAAACAGGACAUACUUUAGAUUUUUGAAAAAUUCUCUGUGGAAUAACAAUCUCUUAUUUUUAAGAAUGUAUGAAUAUGUGUUCUAUAUGCUUUUAAGUUAUGUAUUACAUACUGUUCUCUAAAAUGGAAAUGUUUAUUUGGCUUCUAAAAGUCAUUUGUGAGUUCAUGUUAUUUAAAACUGCUUUUCAGUCAACUUAUUCUUUAUAAAAAAAGUUUGUUCAAAUAGCAUGUUUUUAUUUCAUUUCUAAAUAAAUUCAUGUUUGAUAAUA